rnacentral:rRNA from 1 species
UACCAGCACCCCGAGUGGUCGGGACGAUUAUUGGGCCUAAAGCAUCCGUAGCUUGUUCUGCAAGUCCUCCGUUAAAUCCACCUGCUCAACAGAUGGGCUGCGGGGGAUACUACAGGGCUAGGAGGCGGGAGAGGCAAACGGUACUCAGUGGGUAGGGGUAAAAUCCUCUGAUCCACUGAAGAACACCAGUGGCGAAGGCGACUUACUGGACACAUAUUGACGCUGAGGUGCGAAAGCGUGGGGAGCAAACAGG